GACGAACGCUGGCGGCGUGCCUAAUACAUGCAAGUAGAACGCACAGUUUAUACCGUAGCUUGCUACACCAUAGACUGUGAGUUGCGAACGGGUGAGUAACGCGUAGGUAACCUGCCUGGUAGCGGGGGAUAACUAUUGGAAACGAUAGCUAAUACCGCAUAAUAUUGAUUAUUGCAUGAUAAUUGAUUGAAAGAUGCUAUUGCAUCACUACCAGAUGGACCUGCGUUGUAUUAGCUAGUAGGUGAGGUAACGGCUCACCUAGGCGACGAUACAUAGCCGACCUGAGAGGGUGAUCGGCCACACUGGGACUGAGACACGGCCCAGACUCCUACGGGAGGAAGCAGUAGGGAAUCUUCGGCAAUGGACGAAAGUCUGACCGAGCAACGCCGCGUGAGUGAAGAAGGUUUUCGGAUCGUAAAGCUCUGUUGUAAGAGAAGAACGGGUGUGAGAGUGGAAAGUUCACACUGUGACGGUAGCUUACCAGAAAGGGACGGCUAACUACGUG
rnacentral:rRNA from 1 species